GAACGCACCUUGCACUCUUUGGUAUUCCGAAGAGUAUGCUUGUUUGAGUAUCAUUAAAUUCUCAAACCACUACUUGGUUUUAUAUCAAGUCAGUGGCUUUGGAUGUGGAGGUUGCAGGCUUCUUGUAAAGUCUGCUCUUCUUAAAAGCAUUAGUGGUUAUUGAUUCCACUUCUUGGUGUGAUAAUAUCUACGCCUUGUAAGAACGAAUCUAAUGUAGCUGCUCUCAAACCGUCUUUAUUGACAAUUUGAACCAUUUGAUCUCAAAUCAAGUAGGACUACCCGCUGAACUUAAG
rnacentral:misc_RNA from 1 species